CAUGCUUGAUUCAGUGCAUAGGAGGAGAAAAUCCUAAGGGAUCCUAGUUACUACUCCCCUGUAAAGAAUCUUGAUGGGUUAUCGUUGGGCCUUAGUCCCUUCAUAAUCUAUACUUGGGAAAGACAAGAGGAGUAGUCGUUAGGAUCAAUAAGAAAAAUUCUAGGUAGAAUUCUCUAAUCUAGAUCUAGUGGAUUCAAAAACUCUAGAUCCUUAGUCUUAUUGUCUUUAGCAAACAACUUUUGACUUUUGAUUUUCGUUAAAGCUCGCUUGAGC
rnacentral:lncRNA from 1 species